GACGAAGGAUGCAAGCGUUAUCCGGAUUCAUUGGGUUUAAAGGGCGCGUAGGCGGCCUAGCAAGUCACUUGUGAAAUCUCCGGGCUUAACUCGGAACUGCCAAGUGAAACUGCUGGGCUAGAGUGCAGAAGGGGCAAUCGGAAUUCUUGGUGUAGCGGUGAAAUGCGUAGAUAUCGGGAGGAACACCUGUGGCGAAAGCGGCGCACUGGACCAUAACUGACGCUGAGGCGCGAAAGCUAGGGGAGCGAACAGG
rnacentral:rRNA from 1 species